AACGAACGCUGGCGGCGUGCCUAACACAUGCAAGUCGUGCGAGAAAGUUCCUUCGGGAGCGAGUAAAGCGGCGCACGGGUGAGUAACACGUAGGUAACCUGCCCCCCAGUCUGGAACAACUAGAGGAAACUCUAGCUAAUGCCGGAUGAGACCACGAUCCCUUCGGGGGUUGCGGCCAAAGAUGGCCUCUACUUGUAAGCUAUCGCUGAGGGAUGGGCCUGCGGGCCAUUAGCUUGUUGGUGAGGUAACGGCUCACCAAGGCUGUGAUGGCUAGCUGGCCUGAGAGGAUGACCAGCCACACUGGGACUGAGACACGGCCCAGACUCCUACGGGAGGCAGCAGUGGGAAUAUUGCGCAAUGGGCGAAAGCCUGACGCAGCGACGCCGCGUGGGUGAUGAAGGCC
rnacentral:rRNA from 1 species